GAUGAACGCUGGCGGCGUGCCUAAUACAUGCCAGUCGAGCGAACGGACGAGAAGCUUGCUUCUCUGAUGUUAGCGGCGGACGGGUGAGUAACACGUGGAUAACCUGCCUAUAAGACUGGGAUAACUUCGGGAAACCGGAGCUAAUACCGGAUAAUAUUUUGAACCGCAUGGUUCAAAAGUGAAAGACGGUCUUGCUGUCACUUAUAGAUGGAUCCGCGCUGCAUUAGCUAGUUGGUAAGGUAACGGCUUACCAAGGCAACGAUGCAUAGCCGACCUGAGAGGGUGAUCGGCCACACUGGAACUGAGACACGGUCCAGACUCCUACGGGAGGCAGCAGUAGGGAAUCUUCCGCAAUGGGCGAAAGCCUGACGGAGCAACGCCGCGUGAGCGAUGAAGGUCUUCGGAUCGUAAAACUCUGUUAUUAGGGAAGAACAUAUGUGUAAGUAACUGUGCACAUCUUGACGGUACCUAAUCAGAAAGCCACGGCUAACUACGUG
rnacentral:rRNA from 1 species